AUUGAACGCUGGCGGCGUGCUUUUCACAUGCAAGUCGAACGGCAGCACGGGAGCUUGCUCCUGGUGGCGAGUGGCGAACGGGUGAGUAAUACAUCGGAACGUACCCAGUAGUGGGGGAUAACGCACCGAAAGGUGCGCUAAUACCGCAUACGACCUACGGGUGAAAGCGGGGGACCGUAAGGCCUCGCGCUAUUGGAGCGGCCGAUGUCUGAUUAGCUAGUUGGCGGGGUAAAAGCCCACCAAGGCGACGAUCAGUAGCUGGGCUGAGAGGACGAUCAGCCACACUGGGACUGAGACACGGCCCAGACUCCUACGGGAGGCAGCAGUGGGGAAUUUUGGACAAUGGGGGCAACCCUGAUCCAGCAAUGCCGCGUGUGCGAAGAAGGCCUUCGGGUUGUAAAGCACUUUUGUCAGGGAAGAAAUCUUUCAGGCUAAUACCCUUGGAAGGAUGACGGUACCUGAAGAAUAAGCACCGGCUAACUACGUGCCAGCCGCCGCCGUAA
rnacentral:rRNA from 1 species